CAUGCAGUCGAACGAAGAUACUUAAAAUGAGAGCUUCGGCAGGAUUUUUAUUUAUCUUAGUGGCGGACGGGUGAGUAACGUGUGGGCAACCUGCCCUAUACUGGGGAAUAAUCACUGGAAACGGUGACUAAUACCGCAUGUCAUUACGGAAGGGCAUCCUUCUGUAAGAAAAGGAGUAAUUCGGUAUAGGAUGGGUCCGCAUCUGAUUAGCUAGUUGGUGAGAUAACAGCCCACCAAGGCGACGAUCAGUAGCCGACCUGAGAGGGUGAUCGGCCACAUUGGGACUGAGACACGGCCCAAACUCCUACGGGAGGCAGCANUGGGGAAUAUUGCACAAUGGGGGAAACCCUGAUGCAGCAACGCCGCGUGAAGGAAGAAGGUUUUCGGAUCGUAAACUUCUAUCAACAGGGACGAAGAAAGUGACGGUACCUGAAUAAGAAGCCCCGGCUAACUACGUGCC
rnacentral:rRNA from 1 species